rnacentral:rRNA from 1 species
CCCUACGGGGUGCAGCAGGCGCGAAAACUUCGCAAUGCGGGAAACCGUGACGAGGGAAUUCCGAGUGCUCAUACAAUGUAUGGGCUUUUCUUAUGUGUAAAAAGCAUGAGGAAUAAGGGCUGGGUAAGACCGGUGCCAGCCGCCGCGGUAAUACCGGCAGCUCUAGUGGUAGCCACUUUUAUUGGGCCUAAAGCGUCCGUAGCCGGUCAGGUAAAUCCUUGGGUAAAUCGUACAGCUUAACUGUGCGGCUUCCGAGGAGACUGCUUGACUUGGGACCGGGAGAGGUUGGAGGUACUCCUGGGGUAGGGGUGAAAUCCUGUAAUCCUAGGUGGGCCACCGGUGGCGAAGGCGUCCAACCAGAACGGCUCCGACGGUGAGGGACGAAGGCUAGGGGCGCAAACCGGAUUAGAUACCCGGGUAGUCCUAGCUGUAAACGCUGCAGACUUGGUGUUGGAGAUCCCACGAGGGUGUCCAGUGCCGGAGAGAAGUUGUUAAGUUUGCCGCCUGGGAAGUAUAGCCGCAAGGCUGAAACUUAAAGGAAUUGGCGGGGGAGCAC